GAGAAGUGAGUACGCCAGUAUUCACGGAGCCAUUGGUGGGAUACCAACCUUGUUUUAUUGGAAUUCUAACGAGAAGCGUAACGAGCUUGCGGACAGUCUCAGGCGGGCAGUUUGACUGGGGCGGUCGCCUCCGAAAGAGUAACGGAGGCGCCCAAAGGUUCCCUCAGCGCGGACGGAAACCGCGCGAAGAGUGCAAAGGCAGAAGGGAGCUUGACUGCGAGACGGACAGGUCGAGCAGGGACGAAAGUCGGGCUUAGUGAUCCGGUGGUAGAGAGUGGAAUUGCCAUCGCUCAACGGAUAAAAGCUACCCUGGGGAUAACAGGCUUAUCUCUCCCAAGAGUCCAUAUCGACGGGGAGGUUUGGCACCUCGAUGUCGGCUCAUCACAUCCUGGGGCUGAAGUAGGUCCCAAGGGUUGGGCUGUUCGCCCAUUAAAGUGGUACGCGAGCUGGGUUCAGAACGUCGUGAGACAGUUCGGUCCCUAUCCAUCGCGGGCGUAAGAAACUUGAAAGGGGCUGCUCCUAGUACGAGAGGACCGGAGUGGACCGACCAAUGGUGUACCAGUCAUGGCGCCAGCCGUGCAGCUGGGUAGCUACGUCGGGGACGGAUAAACGCUGAAAGCAUCUAAGCGUGAAACCAGCCUAGAGAUGAGGUUUCUCAUUGUUUUAACAAGUAAGGUCCCACAAAGACGAUGUGGUUGAUAGGCCGGGAGUGGAAGUACAGUGAUGUACGGAGCGGACCGGUACUAAUAGACCGAGGACUUGACUUA
rnacentral:rRNA from 1 species